AAAUAAGAAUAAUAAUUAGUUUCGACCUAAUUUCAGAAAAAAAAAUUUCCUUAUUUA
rnacentral:tRNA from 1 species